rnacentral:rRNA from 1 species
AUGGAGCGACUGAAAUCGGCGGUGCCGGCCGAUAUCCGGCGAGCCGUCGGCGAGGGCACGACCCGCGACCUCCCUUCCACCACCUCUCUCCUUCUCGCCUUCCUCGACGACCUCCCUCUAUUCCACCAGGUCAUCGGCGAGCUGGCCGACCCGGAGCUCGCGCUGUGCCGCAAGGACAAGGGGAGGGCAGCGGAGCUGAAGGGCCGGGGCAAUGCCUGCUUCUCCAGGAGGGAGUUCGAGCAAGCCCUUGGGUUCUAUUCACAGGCGCUGCGUUACGCACCGAUUAGUUCUGAUGGCACUGGUGAUAUCUUGGUACCUGCAUUAUAUGUCAACCGUGCCUCCACUAUGCAUAAAUUGGGCCUCCUGGAAGAGUGUCUGCGGGAUUGCGACAGGGCCAUCUCUGUUUCACCUAAUUAUGCGAAGGCAUGGUACAGGAGGGGAAUGGUAAAUGCAUCGUUGAAGAAUUAUUCAUCUGCCAUGCAUGAUCUAGAGGUUGCAUUGAGCAUGGAAGUAACUUCUUCUGGGAAGAGCAACAUAGAACAAGAGUUGAAGUUGAUAUUGUUAAAGCCUCAAUGUGUGAACAAAGUUGGAAGAUCAAGCAGUGAUUGCAAGGAUGCAGGAUUGGCACAUACAGCAGAUGCACAUAAGGUUGUCCUUGAGUGUAUUGCAACGCCCAACAAAGGUAGAGGAAUGACAUCUCCAGAUGAUAUUCCUCCGACCUCCUUGAUUCAUGUUGAGGAUCCUCUUGCUGCGAUUAUCCUGAAAUCUUGCCGGGAGACUCACUGCCAUUAUUGCUUUAGUGAAGCACCUGCAGAUGUUGUGUUCUGUCCCUUGUGUACAAUACCAGUUUAUUGUUCAAGAAAGUGCCAAGAGCAAGCUGUAGGCGGAAUCUCUUGGAAUCAAGACACUUAUCUUGAAUCUAACAGUAAUGCAGUUGAUCUUGGAAUACUGAGCCUAACUUCUACAAGGUGCAAGGCUACAGACUCUAAACAAAUUGCUGAACAUAGGCACGAAUGUGGAGGUGCCCAUUGGGCAGCUGUUUUGCCAGCUGAUAUAGUUUUAGCUGGGCGACUAAUGGCACAAUACAUAGACAGCAGAAUGCUGACUGGAAAGAGCUCUGCCAUCUCUGGUCCAAAAAUGGAUCUCAUUCAGCACUAUGAUGUAGAUUCUCCUACUAGCAAGUUGGAAUCACAUAUAUAUGCGAUUGUCUUGUUAUCAUGCCUCCAAAAGCAUUAUAAAUCAGAUCUUUCGUGGAAAGAGGAAACUUUAGCUCAGAUGGUUCUUUUGAUAUGUCAAGUUAAAGUCAAUUCAAUUGCUAUUGUUUGUAUGAAAUCCAUGGAUGGAAGCCAGGGACUGACAGAGAAUAAAGGGUAUUCUGCAGCUGAUGAUGGAGUUAUGUGUAGUGUGGAGCAGGUCAAGGUUGCUCAAGCUAUCUACAUGUCUGGUAGCCUCUUUAAUCACUCGUGCCGGCCAAAUGUACAUUCAUAUUUUCAUUCGCGCACUCUCUUUCUAAGAUCUACCACAUAUAUAAAAUCAGGGAGCCCAGUCGAGCUAUCAUAUGGUCCACAGGCUGGUGAGAUGAAUCUUGUGAAAAGACAAAAGUCACUUCAGGAGAAUUACAAAUUUAGUUGCCAGUGUUCAAGUUGUUCAGAGCUACAUCUAUCGGACCUUGUCAUUGAUUCAUUUUGUUGUCCACAAAGUAGCUGUCUUGGUGCCGUGUCAGAAUCAACUUGCUACAAAUCCGAAGAGAAUUGUGUGCACGUUUCCAUAGAUGAAUCUGAUAUCUGCAAACUAUCAUUGCCUCAUGUUUCCAAGGUUGAUGAAGAUAUAGAGAAGGUUGGGAAAUUGUUUUUCAGAAAUAAUGCUGAUUUGAAGAUUGAUCCUGGAUAUUGCAUGAGCUGUAGAUCACAAAUUAACCUGUCUUCUGCUGUUGCUACAUCAGAGAAGGCAGCGUCAAAGAUCAAUAGGUUUAAGGAACUUGCAGUUAUAGACGGAAUCUCCGAAAUUCCCAUCACAGAUGCAUUACAAUCCCUACAACAGAUAAAGAAGUUGAGGCACCCAUAUAGCAAGGCUCUUGCCCAGGCAGAAGAUGCGAUUGCAGAAGCCUUUGCAAAGAUAGGAGAUCAAGAACAAGCAAGAAAGCACUGCGAAGCAUCAAUUAUGAUCCUCAAGAAGCUGUACCACCCCAAACACAUAGCCAUUGCACAUGAGCUGAUCAAGCUUGUUUCCAUCGAGCUGUCUCUGGGGGACAGGGCAAGUGCAGCAGCUACAUUCGCCCAGGCAAAGGCGAUAUUCUCGCUUUAUUAUGGACCUGAUGUUGAGAGGAUUUUACCCUAUGUUGAUGCCCUGAAAAGAACUGUUAGUGGAGGGUUCAUCGGAGCACCUUGA